GCUUAGCUUAAUGGUAAAGUACUCAGCCGGUAUCUGAGAGGUGUGGGUUCGAGUCCCAUAGC
rnacentral:tRNA from 1 species